AACGAACGCUGGCGGCGUGGAUAAGACAUGCAAGUCGAACGGGAUUAGUUUUGUAGCAAUACGAAGCUGGUCUAGUGGCGCACGGGUGCGUAACACGUGAGUAAUCUGCCGAGAAGUGGGGGAUAGCUCGCCGAAAGGCGAAUUAAUACCGCAUGUGACUACCUCUUGAUUAAGGGGGAUGUUAAAGUAGCAAUACGCUUUUUGAUGAACUCGCGGCCUAUCAGCUAGAUGGCGGGGUAACAGCACACCAAGGCUAUGACGGGUAGCUGGUCCGAGAGGACGACCAGCCACACUGGAACUGAGACACGGUCCAGACACCUACGGGUGGCAGCAGUCGAGAAUUUUUCUCAAUGGGGGAAACCCUGAAGGAGCGACGCCGCGUGGAGGAUGAAGGUCUUCGGAUUGUAAACUCCUGUCAUUAGGGAACAAAUCUUCCAAGUAACUACUGGAAGUCUGAUAGUACCUGAAGAGGAAGGGACGGCUAACUCUGUGCCAGCAGCCGCAGUAACAC
rnacentral:rRNA from 1 species